rnacentral:rRNA from 1 species
AACGAACGCUGGCGGCGUGCCUAACACAUGCAAGUCGAACGCGAAAGGGGGCAACCCCCGGUAGCGUGGCAGACGGGUGAGUAACACGUGGGUAACCUACCCGGAGGUGGGGGAUAACCCUUCGAAAGGAGGGCUAAUACCGCAUGACAUCGCGGGGACUUCGGUCCUUGCGAUCAAAGCUGGCCUCUGUUUACAAGCUAGCGCCACCGGAUGGGCCCGCGCCCCAUUAGCUAGUUGGUGAGGUAACGGCUCACCAAGGCGACGAUGGGUAGCCGGCCUGAGAGGGCGAUCGGCCACACUGGAACUGCGACACGGUCCAGACUCCUACGGGAGGCAGCAGUGAGGAAUAUUGCGCAAUGGGCGAAAGCCUGACGCAGCGACGCCGCGUGGAGGAUGAAGGUCUUCGGAUUGUAAACUCCUGUCGAGUGAGACGAAUGCCGUGAGGGUGAAUACCCCUCGCGGUUGACGGUACCGCUGGAGGAAGCCCCGGCUAACUCCGUGCCAGCAGCCGCCGUAAAAC